CGUGUCUUCUCGUGCGUUAUAACGCACGUAAUUUUAAUCCUCGUGUGGGACAUUAGGGGGGGUCUUAAAAACUCGAUUCUCUUUACUAAACAUCAUCAUACAACAAGUUUUUAUCCUGGGGUGGGUACCCUUUUAAGGCACUUCUUACAUCAAGCAACAAACACAAACACCAAACCUCCUGACCUCCGAACUCGACAACUCAAACUCAACAACUCAAACUCAACAACUCAACUCCUGACCUCCGAACUCAACAACUCAACUCCUCAACUUUCAACUCAACCUACCCAUUCCUUGUUCCUAUUUCCAAAUUUCCUAGUUCCGAUUUCCCUCUCCUCUAAUUCCUAGUUUCAGUUUCGACCCUUCUCUUCUCCCCUCCGUGGUCCCCUUGCCGGAUCGGGGACCACUUCGGCCUCGCUUCGCUCCUUUUCUCUCAAGGUUUCUCAAAAAAGAAAAAGAAAUUACGUAAGUGAGCACAGAAACUUCUACCUUCAUCCGAAGUGGGAGCUCUAAAGGCUGUGCUUGGGGUAUCUUUCGAGAAUUGAUACCCCGGGGAAGUGGUAUUGGUGACACCACUUCCCUAUGCCCAUGUUGACCGACGUUGGCUCCAUACGGAGGGAACGGGGGAUUCUUUUGGUUGGGGAAUGUUUUUUGCUUAACACAUCAAAUCACAAAAAAACAUCCCCCUUAAGAAUCCCCCUCCGGUGGUGAAACAGAGAGAGACUGGCCCUUUAGGGACCAGUCUUUCCUUUAAUAAAUAUAACUCUCUCUAUUAUAAUAGAGAGAGCUAUAUUUAUUAUGUUAAUAAAUAGAUAUCUCUAUAUUAUAAUAUAGAGAUAUCUAUUUAUUAUGUAUUUAUAUAUUAUAAAAAUAUAUAAAUAUUAAAUUUAAAUAUUUAAAAUAAAUAUUAAAAUUAAAAAAAAAUAUUUAUAAAUAUUAUAAAUAUUAUAUCUAACAUAAUGAGUAUCUAUAAUAUAAUAUAUUAUAGAUACUCAUUAUGCGUGUCUUCUCGUGCGUUAUAACGCACGUAAUUUUAAUCCUCGUGUGGGACAUUAGGGGGGGUCUUAAAAACUCGAUUCUCUUUACUAAACAUCAUCAUACAACAAGUUUUUAUCCUGGGGUGGGUACCCUUUUAAGGCACUUCUUACAUCAAGCAACAAACACAAACACCAAACCUCCUGACCUCCGAACUCGACAACUCAAACUCAACAACUCAAACUCAACAACUCAACUCCUGACCUCCGAACUCAACAACUCAACUCCUCAACUUUCAACUCAACCUACCCAUUCCUUGUUCCUAUUUCCAAAUUUCCUAGUUCCGAUUUCCCUCUCCUCUAAUUCCUAGUUUCAGUUUCGACCCUUCUCUUCUCCCCUCCGUGGUCCCCUUGCCGGAUCGGGGACCACUUCGGCCUCGCUUCGCUCCUUUUCUCUCAAGGUUUCUCAAAAAAGAAAAAGAAAUUACGUAAGUGAGCACAGAAACUUCUACCUUCAUCCGAAGUGGGAGCUCUAAAGGCUGUGCUUGGGGUAUCUUUCGAGAAUUGAUACCCCGGGGAAGUGGUAUUGGUGACACCACUUCCCUAUGCCCAUGUUGACCGACGUUGGCUCCAUACGGAGGGAACGGGGGAUUCUUUUGGUUGGGGAAUGUUUUUUGCUUAACACAUCAAAUCACAAAAAAACAUCCCCCUUAAGAAUCCCCCUCCGGUGGUGAAACAGAGAGAGACUGGCCCUUUAGGGACCAGUCUUUCCUUUAAUAAAUAUAACUCUCUCUAUUAUAAUAGAGAGAGCUAUAUUUAUUAUGUUAAUAAAUAGAUAUCUCUAUAUUAUAAUAUAGAGAUAUCUAUUUAUUAUGUAUUUAUAUAUUAUAAAAAUAUAUAAAUAUUAAAUUUAAAUAUUUAAAAUAAAUAUUAAAAUUAAAAAAAAAUAUUUAUAAAUAUUAUAAAUAUUAUAUCUAACAUAAUGAGUAUCUAUAAUAUAAUAUAUUAUAGAUACUCAUUAUGCGUGUCUUCUCGUGCGUUAUAACGCACGUAAUUUUAAUCCUCGUGUGGGACAUUAGGGGGGGUCUUAAAAACUCGAUUCUCUUUACUAAACAUCAUCAUACAACAAGUUUUUAUCCUGGGGUGGGUACCCUUUUAAGGCACUUCUUACAUCAAGCAACAAACACAAACACCAAACCUCCUGACCUCCGAACUCGACAACUCAAACUCAACAACUCAAACUCAACAACUCAACUCCUGACCUCCGAACUCAACAACUCAACUCCUCAACUUUCAACUCAACCUACCCAUUCCUUGUUCCUAUUUCCAAAUUUCCUAGUUCCGAUUUCCCUCUCCUCUAAUUCCUAGUUUCAGUUUCGACCCUUCUCUUCUCCCCUCCGUGGUCCCCUUGCCGGAUCGGGGACCACUUCGGCCUCGCUUCGCUCCUUUUCUCUCAAGGUUUCUCAAAAAAGAAAAAGAAAUUACGUAAGUGAGCACAGAAACUUCUACCUUCAUCCGAAGUGGGAGCUCUAAAGGCUGUGCUUGGGGUAUCUUUCGAGAAUUGAUACCCCGGGGAAGUGGUAUUGGUGA
rnacentral:lncRNA from 1 species